CCUUGUGAGAAAUCAUAAGUGUUUGGGUUCUGGGGGGAGUAUGGUCGCAAGGCUGAAACUUAAAGGAAUUGACGGAGGGGCACCACCAGGAGUGGAGCCUGCGGCUUAAUUUGACUCAACACGGGAAAACUUACCAGGUCCAGACAUUUGAAGGAUUGACAGAUUGAUAGCCCUUUCUUGAUUAAAUGGGUGGUGGUGCAUGGCCGUUCUUAGUUGGUGGAGUGAUUUGUCUGGUUAAUUCCGAUAACGAACGAGACCU
rnacentral:rRNA from 1 species